rnacentral:RNase_P_RNA from 1 species
CAGUUGGAUAAUCGCGUACAGAUUUUUUGUAUGAGGAAAGUCCGAGCAUUCAAGGACAGGCUGCCAGAGAAAUUCUGGGAUGCGUGAGCAUGCGGAAAGUGCCACAGAAAAGUUGACUGCCGAUGGCGAGAUUUCGCACAGGCGAUGGUGCAACGGUGAGUUAAGAGCUUCACCGGCAUAUUUGAAAAAAUGUGCGUCAAGGUAAACCCCAGCUGAAUGCAAGAUUAACAGGGUAGGGUGUCCGCCCAGUGACCCGAAAUAUCGCUUGUGUUUGCAAGUAAUUGCAUUCCCAGACAGAUGAUUAUCUAAAACAGAACUCGGCUUACGGACUGCUUCU